rnacentral:tRNA from 1 species
CGGGGCGUAGCGCAGCCUGGUAGCGCACCUGCUUUGGGAGCAGGGAGUCGGAGGUUCAAAUCCUCUCGCCCCGA